ensembl:lncRNA
GUUCUAUUGGGGAUUUAGGUCUCCAAGACGACAGUUAAUAAAAUUAAAAUUAUUCUGCAUCUGUGUCAGGCAAGUUUCAGGUAGACCAGGACACGCUUAUACAAAAAAUAUAUGAAUACUAGAAUCUCAGGUACUUUUAGUUUAAUUAUACCGGCGCACUGCAUAAGGAUAAUGAUGUGUCUAGAAAGAAUGGGAGAGGCAGAAAGAGCUAUAGUUAGGGGAGAAAGUCAGUGGAAACAAAGAGAUGGUUAGAAAGUGACAGAGAGAGUGGCACUGAUGAAGAGAUGUGAUAGAGAGCCAAGAGGCAUACACAAAGGGAGAAGCUAAAGGGCAGACAGAAGAAGACAGUGAUGAGGACACAGAAAGAAAUGCUGGGGUAAUGUGACAUCAAGCUCACAGAUACAAGCAAGAGUCUUGUUCCACACAGUGACAUCUCCUGAGUUCUUGGAACUCCUUCCUUAGCCCCAUGUCUUCUUACUGGUAUGAAAUAUAAUUCAUAUUCUCCUUCUGCCUCUUUCCCAUACUAUGUAUGAAGCCCACCACAUGACAGUGUCCUUUAUUUUGUUUCUGGACACAGUUCAAGCACCCAGAAGCAUGAAUUGAUGCACAUUAAAUAUCCACUACAUAUUGAAAUAACAGCAGUAAGUGGCAGUUAGUGACACUGGCUGAGGUUAACGUGGGUGAGGAAUGGCAGUGUUCUAAGUCAGUGUUUUCUGAACUUUAAGAACUAUAGCUAAGUUUUACCGUAACUCAACUGCUUGGCUACCUGGUUUUCAAGAAAAGGACUGGACACAGACUUUGAUGCUAAGAGAGCAUUCCUCCCGUUGUAGUGACUGAGAACCUCAGCCUCUGUAGCAACUGAGGUAAUCUGCUUCAUCCUUCUCUUCAAGAGUACUGUUGACCUCACUGUUUCUGUAUAAGAUCUUGUAGCUUAAAGUCGGUCACAGUGUAUUGUUGGAGACUAAGAGUUCUGAUACUUUGAGCUUCCUCUGCCUUCACUUUAAACAUUCAUAUUGAAAUGAUCAUACUUUCACAGGAAUUUGUGAAGAAAUAGUAAGAUUCUCAAGCACCCAUCAUCCAGUCUCCCCACACAUGAGCACCUUCGUAACUACAGUACCUUGGUGUUAAUACAGAGUACCAGGCUCAUUCACAUUUCAUCACAGAUGCAAUUACAUGUUCAUGUGUACAUACAGCUCUACACAACUAUAUCUCAUGUACAGAUUCAUAUAAACACCACCCAAAUCAAGUUUUAAUUAUCCCAUCAGCACAAGUCUCCUUCUGAGGAUCAGUCCCUUAGUGACUGGCUUUUGUCAACUUGACACAAACUAGAGUCACCCAGAAGGAAUUGAGAGGGAAACUCAAUUGAGGAAAUACCUCCACCAGAUGGGUUAUUGGUAUGCCUAUGGGCUGUCUUUUUUAAAUUAUUGAUUGAUAUGGGAAGGCCUAGCCCACCAUGGGUGGUGACAUUCCUAGGCAGGUGCUCCUUGGAGGUAUAAGAAGGGUAGCCUGGAAACAAAUCAGCAACAUUCCUUCAUGGCCACUGUUUCAGUUCAUGCCUCCAGAGUCCCUGAGCUCCUGCCCUGGAUGAUAGACUGUUAACUGAAGUAUAAACCAAGUAAUCCCUUUUCUCCUCGAGGUAUUUUAUUCAGGUUUAUCAUAGCAUCAGAAAGGAGACCAAAACAGUCCCUUUGUAAAGAUACUCUAGAGUCAGGUAAACCUUGCUGCAGUACAUCACCCUCAGACUUCUGGCUGAAUAAGGACUUUGGGAGUGGAAAGGUCACACCUGAUAUUAAACUUCGGUCACCAUGGUAAGUUCAACACUUAGUCUUGUUUGCAUUGACUUCCAGGGAGUCUCCAAGGAGAAAAUACCUUUCUUCUGCAGCUUCAUUUCUACCUGUAUCAUCUCAUGCACAAGGAGCUCUAGACUACACAGCAGGACAUAUAAAAGGCUCUUUAGAUGUGAAAGAAUAUCAUGAAGCCGUUAGCCAACCAGCCUGACUAGGGAGGGUGACCUUUGUUGCAGGUGACCAGGGAGGCUGGCCUUUGUUGCAGGUGACCAGUGAGGGUGGCCUUUGUUGCAGGUGACCAGGGAGGCUGGCCUUUGUUGCAGGUGACCAGGGAGGCUGGCCUUUGUUGCAGGUAACCAGUGAGGAUGGCCUUUGUUGCAGGUGACCAGGGAGGCUGGCCUUUGUUGCAGGUGACCAGGGAGGCUGGC